CGUGAACGCUGGCGGUAGGCCUAACACAUGCAAGUCGAACGGCAGCACCGUAAGAGCUUGCUCUUCCGGGUGGCGAGUGGCGGACGGGUGAGGAAUACAUCGGAAUCUACUUUUUCGUGGGGGAUAACGUAGGGAAACUUACGCUAAUACCGCAUACGACCUACGGGUGAAAGCAGGGGAUCUUCGGACCUUGCGCGAUUGAAUGAGCCGAUGUCGGAUUAGCUAGUUGGCGGGGUACAUGCCCACCAAGGCGACGAUCCGUAGCUGGUCUGAGAGGAUGAUCAGCCACACUGGAACUGAGACACGGUCCAGACUCCUACGGGAGGCAGCAGUGGGGAAUAGUGGACAAUGGGCGCAAGCCUGAUCCAGCCAUACCGCGUGGGUGAAGAAGGCCUUCGGGGUGUAAAGCCCUUUUGUUGGGAAAGAAAAGCAGCAGGUUAAUACGCCGCUGUUCUGACGGUACCCAAAGAAUAAGCACCGGCUAACUUCGUG
rnacentral:rRNA from 1 species